rnacentral:rRNA from 1 species
ACUGGGCGUAAAGCGCACGCAGGCGGUUGGAUAAGUUAGAUGUGAAAGCCCCGGGCUCAACCUGGGAAUUGCAUUUAAAACUGUUCAGCUAGAGUCUUGUAGAGGGGGGUAGAAUUCCAGGUGUAGCGGUGAAAUGCGUAGAGAUCUGGAGGAAUACCGGUGGCGAAGGCGGCCCCCUGGACAAAGACUGACGCUCAGGUGCGAAAGCGUGGGGAGCAAACAGGAUUAGAUACCCUGGUAGUCCACGCCCUAAACGAUGUCGAUUUGGAGGCUGUGUCCUUGAGACGUGGCUCCCGGAGCUAACGCGUUAAAUCGACCGCCUGGGGAGUACGGCCGCAAGGUUAAAACUCAAAUGAAUUGACGGGGGCCCGCACAAGCGGUAAUCGAAU